GUUAAGAUGUGUCCGUUUGUA
rnacentral:piRNA from 1 species